GUGAGCAUUUCAUUGUCCUUUUCCUUUAUGUCAAGAGAAAAGAUGAUUUCGAUGUGCAAAACAAAUUUUAGAGAUAAAUUAGCAACGUGAUUAAUUUAGUCAUUGCUAUCAGUCACUUUCGGAGAAGU
rnacentral:snoRNA from 1 species